rnacentral:tRNA from 1 species
GCCUGGCUGGCUCAGUUGGUAGAGCAUGCAACUCUUGUUCUCAGGGUCGUGAGUUCAAGCCUCACAUUGGGCA